rnacentral:misc_RNA from 1 species
CCGGCACCGAUAACAAUUCAACAUAAAUUUUGCCACCAUGUGUCCUCUUCUACCUUGCCAUAUAUAGUCUGAAAACACCUCCGCCACUAUAUAUCGACUUCUACCGAAAUACUUAGCCACUUAUAGUCCGAAAACUCCACCACUAUGUCAACCUCCACCUUAAAAACUCGGCCACAUGGAGCCGAAAAACUUCAUCGCCACUAUCUUCUGUCAUGCUAUAUACAGCUAAAAAACUUAAACUCCACUGCAGCCAUAGG